GACUAGCCAGUGCCUGGCACCUGAUGGGAAUAUGAUUUCAACGAACAGCUCACAGAAUCCUCCCCACAAAGCCGAGAAGCAGGAAGCAGCAACCCUCCCAGAUGAAGAAGCGAAGGCUCGGAAAAGCUAAGUAACUUCUCCAAGCUGACGCAGCUCGUGAGAGGAGGGACUGGGAUUCAAAUCCCUGCAGGGGGAGACCAGCAGCCCCGACUUCAGCCGCCAUGCCUCCUGCCUGAGAAGCUAGCUGCGAAGGUUCCAGAAGGAGACUGCCCUCCGGGAACAGAAACAGCGCAUGACUGCGACCUGUCUGCAAAAAUCUUGAUCACUUGUAAAUCCUUCUCCACCUGAUAAGUUAUCACAUUGGCUCAUGAUGUUUUUUUUCAUUCUCACCCUAUGGCGUGGAUGCUGUUACUACCCCAUUUUACAAAGGAGUAAAGUGAGGCCCAGAGAGAACAGUUAAAUCACUUCCCCAGCUUCACUCAACUCAUCUACGGUGAGUCGACGGUACACAUGCCCUUCCACAACACAAAGGUCUCCACUUUGCCACGUGUCACUCUGAUGGUUCCAGGUGCAGAUUUUGCGUCUGCUUCUUGACUUCUAAUGGCUGCACCAUUUUGCAUUGGAUGGUUAUACCAUCAUUUAUUUGACUCAUCUCCUGUGCACAAGCAUCUAGUUUAUCUGCAAACUUUUGCUACCAAAAACAAUGCUGCAAUGAAUAAAUAAGCUGAUGCCUGCUUCUAAGCGUGCGUGCAUGCUGUAAUGUGAGAUGAAUUCCCAGAAGUGGAGUGGCUGAGUCCAA
rnacentral:lncRNA from 10 species